GUUUGGAUUUUGGAUUUUGAUUUUGUUGAUGUGUGAGUGUAUUAUUCUUCUUGGUUUUUAUACAGAAAUUUAUUAAACAUGAAUAUAUCUAAAACAUUGAUAGAAAUGCUCAUUAGAGCAAGACUAUGAGUUUUGCAAUAGCCACCCUCCCCCAUGUUGCUAAUAUGCAACCUCUAAAUAUGCUCAUUUGAACAGUUAAUAAUCAGUCUAAUUGCAUUAGUUUGAUAUGUAUUCCUUUUUUAUUAAUGCAUUAUAGUUAUACAUAAUAUUGUGGUUCAUUUUGACAUAAUUGCACAUGCAGGGGAUAUAAUUUGCUCUACUUCAGUCCCUGGUAUUUUCAUUUUCUCUGGUCUCCUUCUUUUUCCUCUUCCCUUUCCUCUCUGGUCUUUCUUCUAUUUAUUUAUAGUUUUAUAAAAUUUCUCAAUCUUAUCUCCAAUGAUGCCAUGACAGAUUUAUAAAACUCCUCAGUGAAACUCAGGUGUAUUUUCUCUAUUACGUUUUCUUGAACUAUUGUUUCUCAUGAAUUUGGCCACAUUUAAAUUUAGCUAAAAGUGAUUUGAACAAAAAACAAUUUGGUUAAGAAGAUAAUGUUCAUGUUAAAAGGAAAUAAUGCCCAUCAGUAUCUUUCCCAGGNUUUUGAAACUAUCUAAAGACAACAAUAAGGAACAGUCUCCUACUUGAAUAAAUGCUGAUAAACUAAGCUCGGAAGCUGUCCAGGCAUUUUAUUCCAAGUGCUUCACACUGACUGAUUCUCAAGGAAAUUGCUCAAUUCUCCAUUCUCUGGCAUUGCUACAGAAUCAACUCAAGAACACUACAUACAUUUAAUAUUCUUCCUCUCUACAGGUUUCCCAGUGUAAUUUUUCCCUUGACCCAUC
rnacentral:lncRNA from 1 species